rnacentral:lncRNA from 1 species
CGGGGCCGGAGCCGCGGACGGGCGCCCCCUGCCGGCCGGAGGACCGAGCGGCUCAGGCCGAGCCGGGCCGGGCUUAGGUGCGGAAGACCCGGGGCCGACUGAGUCCUCGAAGCGCCAGUGCCGCCGACGGGAGACAGCCAGCUCCGCGGCGCGCCGCGUGAGUGGGACUAAGCUCACGUUUCUCCGACGUGCUCGCUUUCCACAGGGAACCAGUGUGGGGUUUUGCUUUAUUUUUUAUCCAAGUGUCCUCCUCUCUCGGUGGAGCCAACCUGGGCCCCGUGUGCAGCGCAGGAACGAGGACAGAGACCCUGACCUCCUCCGGUGUCUGGAAACCGCCCUGCUGCACUGCACGGAUGGAAGGUAUCGGACUGACGCACGCGUGACUUUUCAGGAGCACUGCAGUUUUCCAUAGAAAGACAGGUCUGCAAAGUGGAAGAACAGCGUGAAAUAGCAUAUGAAGAUUCUCUUUGAACAAGACAUUCAGUCUUUUCCUGCCUCCCCCCGCCCCUCUCUGUAUCCAGUCUGGCCUUGAACUUGCAAUCCGUCUGCCUCAGCCUCCCCAGGAAUCGAUCACUGCAUCUAUCUAGACUUCAAUCUGGUUUUGGAGGGGGUACCAAAUUUCUUUAUCUGAAGGAAUGGUGCAAAUUAAAGAACUUCAGCGGAUGUUUUGGUACAAUGUACGGCAAAGCUAAGUGGAAGGCUCCUCAGCAAGUGCCUCUGCUGCUCACU